GGCAGGAGGAAGUUCAGGCAGAGACUGAGCAAAGAGACCGAAUGUCCUUAAUAUCACCCACCCGGGCUUUUACUCUCCCUGCCUUUCUUUGGAUGUGUGGGAGGUGCACCAGCUAGGGCAGAAGUCCUGGCUUAAAACUGUGGUCUCUUAGCUCCGGGGGUCAUCCCUGACAUUCUUCUGCCUCCAGGCAAAGCCCCACUUCUCCCGCAUUUUCAAAGCAGAAAGAAGGGAAGGCCCUGGGAAAGUGGGGCUCCAGGAGGCUGAAGAUGACAGUCCCUCUCCUAGCUGGGGCAGCUGGAAGAGGAAAACACAGCUGGCCAGCGCCCCUCCACCCCCAACACCACACACGGCUAGCACUGGCCCUGCUCUGGGGGAAGUGCUCAGGCUCUGGGGGACAAGC